rnacentral:lncRNA from 1 species
CAGUCUCGUCAGAGAGGAGCAGAACACCUGCCUCCAAGGAGAGCUUCGCCCUGAGAGCUGACUCAGUCCUCGCUGCGACUCCACAGGCAGGGGCCGAAUUUCUGCCCAGCACCCGGCUGAGGAAGUGGAGGCACCGAGUGGUUAGGUUUCCACCCUGGCAUCGCAGCUCGACGGUCAGAGAGCCAGGAUCCAGGCUCCAAAGGCUCUGCCAUCUGACUUCACCCACCUCGCUGAUCAGCCAUGCCUCCAAUAACGAGUGGGGGAGAAACAUGCUCUGGACGUUUUAGAAAGUCAUUAAAUGAAGAAUUAAAUGAU